CAGUAGCCGCGGUAAUACGAAGGGUGCAAGCGUUAAUCGGAAUUACUGGGCGUAAAGCGUGCGUAGGCGGUGAGUUAAGUCUGCUGUGAAAUCCCCGGGCUCAGCCUGGGAAUGGCAGUGGAUACUGGCUCGCUAGAGUGUGUCAGAGGAUGGUGGAAUUCCCGGUGUAGCGGUGAAAUGCGUAGAGAUCGGGAGGAACAUCAGUGGCGAAGGCGGCCAUCUGGGACAACACUGACGCUGAGGCACGAAAGCGUGGGGAGCAAACAGGAUUAGAUACCCCGGUAGUCCCUGUCUCUUAUAC
rnacentral:rRNA from 1 species